UACAGAGGGGGCAAGCGUUGUUCGGAAUUACUGGGCGUAAAGGGCGCGUAGGCGGCCUGUUAAGUCGAACGUGAAGUCCCCGGGCUCAACCCGGGAACUGCGUCCGAUACUGGCAGGCUUGAAUCCGGGAGAGGGAUGCGGAAUUCCAGGUGUAGCGGUGAAAUGCGUAGAUAUCUGGAGGAACACCGGUGGCGAAGGCGGCAUCCUGGACCGGCAUUGACGCUGAGGCGCGAAAGCCAGGGGAGCAAACGGG
rnacentral:rRNA from 1 species